AUCAUAUAGUUGAGAAAGGAAGUGAUCGAGCGAUGACAACCAGGAGGUGGGCUUGGAAGCAGCCAUCCUUUGAAGAAAGCAUAAUAGCUCACUAGUCUAGCUCCAUGGUACCGAAAAUGUAUCAGGGCUCAAGUGAU
rfam:Populus trichocarpa isolate Nisqually-1 chromosome 1, whole genome shotgun sequence.